rnacentral:rRNA from 1 species
GACGAACGCUGGCGGCGUGCUUAACACAUGCAAGUCGAACGGAAAGGCCCUGCUUUUGUGGGGUGCUCGAGUGGCGAACGGGUGAGUAACACGUGAUUAACCUGCCCUUGACUUUGGGAUAACUUCAGGAAACUGGGGCUAAUACCGGAUAGGAGCUCCUGCUGCAUGGUGGGGGUUGGAAAGUUUCGGCGGUUGGGGAUGGACUCGCGGCUUAUCAGCUUGUUGGUGGGGUAGUGGCUUACCAAGGCUUUGACGGGUAGCCGGCCUGAGAGGGUGACCGGCCACAUUGGGACUGAGAUACGGCCCCGACUCCUACGGGAGGCAGCAGUGGGGAAUAUUGCACAAUGGGCGGAAGCCUGAUGCAGCAACGCCGCGUGCGGGAUGACGGCCUUCGGGUUGUAAACCGCUUUCGCCUGUGACGAAGCGUGAGUGACGGUAAUGGGUAAAGAAGCACCGGCUAACUACGUG